UACAUAAUUCAUCAAACAACAUAUCUACAUAUUAUAGUGGAACUGUCGUGCACGAUACCAUAACCGUCAUAACGAUACCAUAACCGUCAUAACGAUACAAAGGGAAGUAAUCUGGAUAUACAAACUACUGAAGCUGUUGAACUAUUUAUUUGGACUUUAAUGUUUAGAAUAAUUUGAUGUAUUUUUCUUCUUAAUUGUUUUUUUUUGUUUGUUU
rnacentral:lncRNA from 1 species